CAGCGCUUGCUGCCUUCUAACAAAAGCAGUCACCAGGUCAUUCCUCGUUUUGGCGUGUGAUGAUCGACCUUCGGUUCCCUCCCUUUUCGAUCCGUACGGAGUCCUUGUGGAGUUGGUCUUCUCUCUCAAUAUCUUGUCGGGAAACCUUGGACUGCGUGGAGUCACACCAAGCCGUGGCCCAAACCUCCGCGCGGUUUGGCGCUGUGUUGGGUCACUCCAUCUUUGGCAUUGGAUCCCAGUCAGUUGUUCAGUUGUAUCAGGAUCUGAAGGAGCCACCAAAGCAGCCGACUCCGCACCAGCGGUCUUUUCCACCCGACGGUGAGGGUUGCAGGAUUCAAGUGCCAAAACAGACUCGAAGUCUAUCUUCGAUGUUGUCGAAUACAUUCCGUGGCCUCAUUAAGGGUACGGACAAAGUAGCGCACUAGAAGCAAGACCCGGCGUAAAAAGCGUUCAUCCAGUUACUAAACAGGUGCCAGGCCAACAAGAAUCCGAUCCGUAUAUAAUACAUACCCUGAGGAUGCAACACGGCGCUUUCCCGCGGCCUCAGUCCACCCUUCCUUCGGCGGAAAAAAUAGACGAGAAAUGUGGGCGGCACACUACACUGCAGCUGGCUUCAUCGGGUUGCUUCGAUGCUCUUGUGGUCCACCUACCACAGUGUGGCAACACUAUAGGUCAAGCAGAUGAUAUGCUUUUCCUCGCACGCCUCGGCGAGCCGUAAUUUCCAACUUCCACGUCUUCGGUAAUGCUGUAUACUUCUACACAACAAGCACACGUGGGUGCUUCCUAAAUGUGGUCGUCGUAUAGGGUGGACUGUCUAUGCAAGGCGUCUCGGCCCGCUUGCGCAUUUCUCUUGCGAUUGUGCGCCGAUCUCUCUCCUCGUGUAACGUGCGAGCUGAAGUUUCGUGUUGUGCCCGGAUCUGCUACACAGAGAGUAGGUACAAGUCGACCGCCGUCGCUCGCUCUGCUGACCCGUAGGAUGUGAGCUCCCAAACGACGCUCUGCGGCGUUGCCUUAUUCCAGGGAUCGGUCCCUUCGACGAUGAUGCCUUCACAACUCUUUGGGAUAGAGAUAUCUCCGGGGUAAACGUGCAUGCGGUGCGUUCUACUUCAUCUAGCUGAAGCUUCUCCCGGAUGAUUCUGGAAGCCCCGCGGCACCGCGGUUGCCAGUGACAGGGAAGUUGCAGUUCUUGGAGGACUGACGCCAGGCGUUCCUUUUCCGUCACAUUGGCGUGUUUGCUCUGGCUUUUUCCCACGGGCCGACAAUAACCCUGCUCCUUCCAUGACGCACUCGUCUCUGUGACUGCACAGGAUCGUUCGCUGUUGCAUCUAGGUACCAUCAACUGACUGGUUCUUUCAUCAAAGGUGGUGGUCUCGUCAAGCCCGUGGUAGCCGUUGCUGGUUGAAAAAAACGAUGAUGCAGUUCGAUGCUGAACGCUACCGCUGUUUUCCCAGUUUUGGCCUGAAGAAUUCACUUCUGGUACCGGAUGGAGAAGUGAGUCUUCGUCCUUCCGAAAUGUCUUAAAUUCGAGGUCGGAGGACACUAAAGGCUUUUCCCAGGUACCGGGCAGUGACUGAAUGUGGACGAGAGGACGUCCCCGUCGUGGAGCCACAUUUGCCGUUCCCUGACAACCCAAGCAAGCCUGUGCCAUGCUGGUAGAGACUGCUCCUCGAUACACAGUGGCUCACUGAAAGCAAAACAAAGUAACCCAAACCUGUUGAGGUGCGCGAUAAAGACGGGGUCACUGGUCACGCGCAGGUGUUCCUGACGAACCUACAGGGGCUUGGACUGCCUCCCGAGCUGCUAUAGCCAAUGAAGUACUCGUGGCGGUCUGUACGGGCAAACUGCCUGAGUUGCAAUCAUGCCUCCGUAAAUAUCAG
rnacentral:lncRNA from 1 species